rnacentral:rRNA from 1 species
UACGUAGGGUGCGAGCGUUAAUCGGAAUUACUGGGCGUAAAGCGUGCGCAGGCGGUUUUGUAAGCCAGAUGUGAAAUCCCCGGGCUUAACCUGGGAAUGGCAUUUGGGACUGCAAGGCUUGAGUGCGGCAGAGGAGACUGGAAUUCCCGGUGUAGCGGUGAAAUGCGCAGAUAUCGGGAGGAACACCUAUGGCGAAGGCAGCUCGCUGGGACGUUACUGACGCUGAGACGCGAAAGCGUGGGGAGCAAACAGG